rnacentral:rRNA from 1 species
UACGUAGGAGACGAGCGUUGUCCGGAUUUAUUGGGCGUAAAGAGCUCGUAGGUGGUUUGGUAAGUCGGAUGUGAAAUCUCCAGGCUCAACCUGGAGGGGUCAUUCGAUACUGCCAUGACUAGAGUUCGGUAGGGGAGUGUGGAAUUCCUGGUGGAGCGGUGAAAUGCGCAGAUAUCAGGAGGAACACCCGUAGCGAAGGCGGCACUCUGGGCCGAUACUGACACUGAGGAGCGAAAGCGUGGGGAGCGAACAGG